AUGUACACACACUUCAGCACAUCUCAGACAGUGAAGUGUCGCUCUCUGCUGGAGAUCUUCAGUAUUACAGCAGCUCAUCAGAUCUCAUCUUCUGAAGCUUUGGAACAGUCCUGGUUUUGUUUCACUGCAGCUUCAGGAUAUAGCGAGCUCCAGGAGUAACUUUACAUCUCAAUCAUCUUCUAUAUCUUAAUGAAAUUAAAACAUUAAUAAAAAAAAGUCCUUGUAUUGAGAAUGAACACAGAGAUGAUUCUUCAGACAGUAUUCCUCUCUGAACAGACCUGUGUGUGUUUCAAGUCCCAGAGAAAGUAAUUUCACACACUGUUAACUCAAGCAUAAACAUUAGUUUAGUCUGUAAUCUGGUUAGAGCGUUUCCUCUGAUCUGAGGUCAGUUAUCGCAGUGAAGGCGGUCAGCAGACAGUCAGAUGGAGGGCUGAACCCGUGACGGUCAUGAGAACUUCUCAAGAGCUUCGAGAGCCACACACACACACACACACACACACACACACACACUCACACUCACAGAGCAGAAUCACAGCAGACGGAUCAGAUCAGGAGUUUGUUCAUCAUGUCUUACGGCGGAUCAGGUUCAGGAUCUCGAGGUGAAUUCAGCGUUCAUUUCUCCAGCAGAAGUGGAGCAGGACUCAUCAGAGCUGAAGAGGCUGCAGGGAUCGCUCUGCUGGCCGUGGUCCUCACCGCGCUGCUCAUCCUGGCUGCUGGUAUUACCGCCGGAGGGGGGGGUACAAGAUGAUCCGGAGCGAGAGAAACAGCGGUCAGUCGUGGAGAGAGAUGAUGAGAGCGGGUCAGUACAGCGAGUCUGGAUCCGGAGAAGAGAACAAACUAGCCUUGAAUGAGUUCAGCAACCUGCAACCAGCGAUCCCGAACGCUCCUCCAGCCUACGAUAAGAUCGUCUCCGGACCGUCUCCUCCUCCUUACUCCCCUUGAGACACAGACCAGCGACCGGCUGGAGUCCUGACCGAGGCUUUCUGACCGAAGCACGUGGACUAUAACAUC